GAGCUAUGGAAGUGUUUCAAAGUGCACGGUUCUCUCCACGUAUUCCUCUGGCAGCUGCUCCGAACCAACAUCAGUGAGAAGGAGAGUUCAGCAGCACAUGGAAGGAAAACGUGCCCCACUUCUGUCAAUAUCAACAGCAUGGAAACAGGACACCUCUGUGCCUGAGUCAAGGAUUCCAAUGUGUUCAUUACUGCUCUCAUUGAAAGAGAAGAGAAAGGAACUGAGGCUCAGACGUUAAGAAGAUCUACCCCAGGUUACCCAGCAAAGAAUGCCAAUGUGGAGAAAAGAACAGUGCAUCUGGAGUCAAUACACUGAAGAUAUGGGAACUGCCCUGGUAUUACCUGGCUGAAUGCCCAUGAAGAGUCGCUUUCCUUCUACAAAACAGAACUUGGGCUCAAAUUAGCCUCUCAUGACAGAGCAACAGAUUCUUGCUAGGUCUUGAGUUAGCAACACAUGGACUAAAUAAGUAACAGAUAAUAAAAAAGUAUAUACAUAAGCACUAGACUAAUAACCGUAAGAAUAAAUAAACUUUGAGCAGUGUUUAUGGACACAAGGGUACCUCUAACUUUCAAACGUGUGUGGAAGCCAUGCUAAAGGUAAUAUGCAUAUACUAUUAUGGUAUCACAGAAUUCAUGACAGCUGUCAGUAUUUUAUGCAUAUUGACAUAUUCACUGCAUAAUUUAUACAUAGUACAUGAGUGCUGGUAAUAAAAUAGGAAUUUGACAUUUAA